rfam:Schistosoma mattheei strain Denwood, Zambia genome assembly, scaffold: SMTD_scaffold0000012
GCACUGCUGAGGAGUCACCCAAUAGGACGAAACGGCCGUCCAGUGC